rnacentral:sRNA from 1 species
GUUUCACUGCGGCGUUGGUGACUGCCAACAAUGUUUUACGAUCUAUGUUUGUUUCAAACGGGAACCAAGCUGUGUCGGUGGCGGUAUACCGGGCCUAGUACCCGGAAACCUUAAGCCUGAUGCCACGGUACCCACC